rnacentral:rRNA from 2 species
UUUUUUAUGGAGAGUUUGAUCCUGGCUCAGGAUUAACGCUGGCGGCGUGCCUAACACAUGCAAGUCGAACGGGGGUAGCAAUACUCCAGUGGCAGACGGGUGAGUAACACGUGGUCAACCUUCCCUUUAGUGGGGGAUAACUAGCCGAAAGGUUAGCUAAUACCGCAUACGAUUUAUGAGUGGCAUCAUUUAUAAAUGAAAGUAGCAAUACGCUAAAGGAUGGGACCGCGUCCCAUUAGCUAGAUGGUGGGGUAACGGCCUACCAUGGCUCCGAUGGGUAGCUGGUUUGAGAGAGCGACCAGCCACACUGGGACUGAGACACGGCCCAGACUCCUACGGGAGGCAGCAGUUGGGAAUCUUGCGCAAUGGGCGAAAGCCUGACGCAGCAACGCCGCGUGAGGGAUGAAUGUCUUCGGAUUGUAA